rnacentral:rRNA from 1 species
AUUGAACGCUGGCGGCAUGCCUUACACAUGCAAGUCGAGCGGUAACAGGUCUUCGGAUGCUGACGAGUGGCGAACGGGUGGGUAAUACAUCGGAACGUGCCCAGACGUGGGGGAUAACGAGGCGAAAGCUUUGCUAAUACCGCAUACGAUCUAAGCAUGAAAGCAGGGGACCGCAAGGCCUUGUUCGGUUGGAGCGGCCGAUGGCAGAUUAGGUAGUUGGUGGGAUAAAAGCUUACCAAGCCGACGAUCUGUAGCGGGUCUGAGAGGACGACCAGCCACACUGGGACUGAGACACGGACCAGACUCCUACGGGAGGCAGCAGUGGGGAAUGUUGGACAAUGGGCGAAAGCCUGAUCCAGCAAUGCCGCGUGCAGGAUGAAGGCCUUCGGGUUGUAAACUGCUUUUGUACGGAACGAAAAGGCUCUGGCUAAUACCUGGGGCACAUGACGGUACCGGAAGAAUAAGCACCGGCUAACUACGUG